rnacentral:rRNA from 1 species
GACGAACGCUGGCGGCGUGCUUAACACAUGCAAGUCGAACGGAAAGGCCCUGCUUUUGUGGGGUGCUCGAGUGGCGAACGGGUGAGUAACACGUGAGUAACCUGCCCUUGACUUUGGGAUAACUUCAGGAAACUGGGGCUAAUACCGGAUAGGAGCUCCUGCUGCAUGGUGGGGGUUGGAAAGUUUCGGCGGUUGGGGAUGGACUCGCGGCUUAUCAGCUUGUUGGUGGGGUAGUGGCUUACCAAGGCUUUGACGGGUAGCCGGCCUGAGAGGGUGACCGGCCACAUUGGGACUGAGAUGCGGCCCAGACUCCUACGGGAGGCAGGAGUGGGGAAUAUUGCACAAUGGGCGGAAGCCUGAUGCAGCAACGCCGCGUGCGGGACGACGGCCUUCGGGUUGUAAACCGCUUUCGCCUGUGACGAAGCGUGAGUGACGGUAAUGGGUAAAGAAGCACCGGCUAACUACGUG